ACGAUUUCUCUCUUCUCUCUUCGCGACCUCCUCUGUCUCUCACGGUUUCUCUCUUCGCAAGCGCCUCCUCAGUCGCCACAAGAACGCAACCUAGCUCGUUGCCUGCCUGCAUGUUGAAGAGGGCUAGGGUUCGGUCAUCUCGGCGUCCAUACCGUGCGUGUGUUUUUUCCGCCUUUUUGGCUCACCAAUCCGGUAGAUCUGAAUUUGUCAUCUGUACUAGAAGUAAAGAUGGUUGUUUUAUCACCUAGUCUGGGGAAAUUACUCCCUGUUAACAAGUUUGGACUGCUUUUUAGCCGCUUAUCUUGUGCUUUUAUACUCCAGAACUGAAGUAUGUAUGCGUUGCAGGAAGGCGGAGGGCGAACAGAAACGCAGAAAGGAGGUAAAAUUUCGUCUAAACAUUCAUCUACAAGCAUGACCUUGCAUCAAUUCUGACACAACCACUGCAAGUCUUAAGUUAACUUUUCGAGAGCUAAUGUUGUAUCCAUGACGGAUGAUGAUGAAAUGGAAACUGCUAACCAAGGCAGAGAAGGCAGCUGAGAAGUUCAAGUCAAUGAGGAGGACAGCGAACAAUGUUUGGUGAAGGAAACAACAAGUUCAAAGUAGACGAGUUCAAAGUGGACGAGUUCAAAGUUC